CACGACCGAGUGUUUUAACCUGACAGCCUGAGGUGUUCUUCAGUAAACUGGACUACCCGACAGAAGGACCCGAGGCCCCGCUGCACUUUUUCGGAUGCAGCAGCAGA